UCGAUUAACAAUGAAUCAGCAUCAUCACCAGAAAGAGAGACGCUGUGGUUAGAGCUGAGCCACUCAGGACGUGGACAAAUGGAUAAAUCGAUGGAAAACAGCAACAACAAGUGUCAAGUAGAAGCCGACAGGCUUGUGUUACCGCGAGGACGCACAGAGAAGCUGAAGCAGCUCUGGUUCCGACCCGUGGUUCUGCUGGGUCAAAGCCUUGGCACCGUCCAAACACACUCCAAUCAAUCACACUUAACAGGUGUCUGUUGGUGUUUGUGUCAAUGCCUCCUCAUUGUGUUAACGCAGCCGCGACCCUUGACCUCCACACACUGUGUGGGCUUCAACGGACUCCUCCACCCAGCGUGGCGCAGCGGCUCCACUGCACCGCUCCACAUCCGCCCACGAGCCCAGUUCAACGGCUCCAGACGGAGCGCGCGGCGCCUCGGUAAGUGAGUGGCGCGGGUUCACGGCGCUCACGAGGACGAGGCGGAAUAUUCCCACCACGCCAACAUACAUGCUGUCACAUCAUUUACAGGCAUCGCUGCCGCUCAUGGGCGCAGACGCGCGAGCCAUCUGCGUCAAACAACUGAAAUAGGAGCGGCAGCUUGCGCGCGAGCGCAACUUGGUGAAAGUCCCCACGCUGCGGCGGGAGAACGGCGCGAGGAGUGACAAUAGCAGCGAAUGGAGGCGCAGGAGGGGCGCGAGCAUGCGACCUGACGAGGAGCCGGAGGCGCGCGCACGCGCCAGCAACACGGCGGGACGCGGGACUUCGCCCUUGCACCUGCAGACGCGGACACGAGUCGACAGCCAUGGCUGUGAAGGAGCCGGCUCAGACUCUGGAAGCCACUGACUGCCGGCAGAAACGCGAUGCUGUGCCUCUCAAGCCGAUAUUAGCAUAGAGCUCAUCCACAGCCAUAUAGGGCAACCCGGCCGAACCCCCCCCCCCCCCCUCCUCCCCCUCCUCUCCCACCUACCCCCACAUCCACCCUGUCUCCCCCUCCUCCCUCAGCAGUGCGGACCGGCGGACGGACAGAGCCGGGGCAUCAGGACAAGCUCCCGGUGGUGGUGAUGAUGAUGAUGGUGAUGAUGAUGAUGAUGGCGGCAGUCACAGGGGAUGGAGCUGUGUGUCCUGUAAUCCCUUCACCGGCUGAGUCAGCAGUUUGACGGAGCCCCCGGUGUGACGCGCGGCGGCGGGAGACGGAGUGAGCGUUAAAGUUGUGAAUGGCUGCGUGUCUGUCUGCGCCGCAGCGCAGCGCGUCUGCACACACGCAGCCCGGUGCAGACCAACUGCGCAUUUGCCCACACGCAUAUUUAUUUACAAUGUGUGGUGGUUUGUAUGUGAUUAAAACGAUUUUCAUCUAAUCAAAGGAAAUUAAACGGCAAUUAUAAUCUAUAUAAUUCA